rnacentral:rRNA from 1 species
GACGAACGCUGGCGGCGUGCCUAAUACAUGCAAGUUGAGCGAUGAAGAUUGGUGCUUGCACCAAUUUGAAGAGCAGCGAACGGGUGAGUAACGCGUGGGGAAUCUGCCUUUGAGCGGGGGACAACAUUUGGAAACGAAUGCUAAUACCGCAUAACAACUUUAAACAUAAGUUUUAAGUUUGAAAGAUGCAAUUGCAUCACUCAAAGAUGAUCCCGCGUUGUAUUAGCUAGUUGGUGAGGUAAAGGCUCACCAAGGCGAUGAUACAUAGCCGACCUGAGAGGGUGAUCGGCUACAUUGGGACUGAGACACGGCCCAAACUCCUACGGGAGGCAACAGUAGGGAAUCUUCGGCAAUGGACGAAAGUCUGACCGAGCAACGCCGCGUGAGUGAAGAAGGUUUUCGGAUCGUAAAACUCUGUUGGUAGAGAAGAACGUUGGUGAGAGUGGAAAGCUCAUCAAGUGACGGUAACUACCCAGAAAGGGACGGCUAACUACGUG